rnacentral:tRNA from 1 species
AAGACUUUAAGUUAAAGAAACUAUUAGCCUUCAAAGUUGAAAAUAUAAAAGAUUGUAAGUCUUA